ACAGGGUCCCCUCACUGCCUGCCACAGACAUUGGCACCGAGGACCCAGACGCAGAAGGACAGGACAUCCCAAAGAAAAGAGUUUUUCUUUUAAGUUGCUUUUUAAAAUAUAUAUGUAUAUAUUUUUUAAAAAAUACUGCACCCGUUUUGGUGUGAGGGCAAAGGCGAAUGAAAGAAGGUGACUGAGCCAGGAGGAGAGAGCACAGAUGGCUUGGUGGUGGUAUGGUGUGGUGAGUUGUGGGAAGGAGGAGAGGGGGUCUGGUAGAGGUUGGGGGUGUGCUGAAUGAGGACCCUGCUUUCCUCUUUCGUUUUGCUGUGGAUGAAGGAGAGAGAGAAAGAGAGAGAAAAGGGGUGGGGAGAGAAGCGAGACAGAUGGCAGAGUGGAGAGGCGGCAGCCAGUGCCGGCACUGCCCAGCCUGGGCGGACCCACCUACCCCCGCCUGCCAGCUUUCCAAAUGCCACCCUUCCCCCAUCCUCCCCUCUCCCCAUCCCCCCAGCUUGGCACUGAUCUCAGAGAGAGAGGGAGGGAGGCUGGGCAAAGAGCAUCUGUUCCCUCCAUUCUCCCGGCUCCAUCGGCUGCCAACCUAGGGCCAUCGUCUGCCUCCAUCUCCCCUCCGCCCGCCCGCCUGCCCGCCCGCCUACCCACCCAAUCUCAAAUGGGUGUUGGAUCAGGCAUUGGCAUUACAGCUGCCACCCUUGUGCCCGAGGAGAUGGAAGGAGGCGAGUAGGGAGGGGAGCAGCGGCAGGAGUCCUGGUGCUCUGGGAGGAAGGCUGGUACCCGGGAGCCAUUGGCAUCACAUCCAUCAGGCAUGGGGAGUGGGGCGACAGAAGGAGAGAGGCAUGAGGACAAAGGAGGAAGUACGCCAUUGCCAAGACCCCAAGGAAGAAGGAUGGAGAAGCUGGCAGUCCUGCCUGGC